UGAGCCAUCACAAAUGAACAUAAUCAAAAAAUUCAUAAAAUAAUUAUCACUAAUAAUGAUUAAUUGUGAUAGAAAUGUAAUAAUAAUUUUACUACUACUACUAAUAAUAAGCAUCUUAUUUAUUUAUUCUAAUAAUAAUUAUAUGCAUAUGAGUGUUAUAUACUGUUUAUGAAGUUUUAAUUGUAUAUUAUAUAUUUUGUAUUGUUUAAUUUGAACAAUUAUUAUUAUUAUCAUCUGUUUUAAUAUUAAUAACCAUUAUUUAUUUAAUUUAUUGUUUUAUUUAAAAAUUAUUAUUAUCAUUUCUUUUCAUUUUAAUAUAUUUACAUUUAAUCAUUUAGCAGACACUUUUUUUCCCAAAGCGACUUACAAAUGACAAAACAGAAGCAAUCAAACCAACAAAAGAGCAACACUAUCAAUUUUUACAUUUUCAGAGUGUCAGGCACAUACCUGCCAGGAAAUGAAGGGCUCCAUUUUAAAAGUCGCCAGUGUAGUGAGUCCAGCAACGAAGCAGAGCCACCUGAGCUUGACCAGAGAGAUGCUAUAGAGCAGCACACAGUGAGAGAGGAUGAGUGUGACGUAGGCCCAGCCCAUACUGGAGAAAACCGCCAGCAUACCAUACACCAUGAACACCAGAGAUCUGUACUGUGGGAUGAGAGAACAUGAGAGAGUGAGCAUCUCAGUUAUUCAUUCUUUGGUAUAUUAAUACUGACAUACGAUCCCUGCUGCGUGCUUUGCAUAGCUUUCUGAGGUGAUUUAAAGGUAUGUAGUCAAACACCAGCCUGGUCUGCAUUAUUGUGACGUUUGUUAUUGUGAGAGGAACCAUGCAGGUAAGUUACCAGCUUAUUAGUUCAACUAUUUUGAUAAAUAUUUGAUUUAAAUGUUAGAGGGUCAUGCUGCUAAGCAGAUUUUAGAAACACCUGUUGUACUAACCUUGAGC